rnacentral:rRNA from 1 species
GACGAACGCUGGCGGCGUGCCUAAUACAUGCAAGUUGAGCGCUGAAGGUUGGUACUUGUACCAACUGGAUGAGCAGCGAACGGGUGAGUAACGCGUGGGGAAUCUGCCUUUGAGCGGGGGACAACAUUUGGAAACGAAUGCUAAUACCGCAUAAAAACUUUAAACACAAGUUUUAAGUUUGAAAGAUGCAAUUGCAUCACUCAAAGAUGAUCCCGCGUUGUAUUAGCUAGUUGGUGAGGUAAAGGCUCACCAAGGCGAUGAUACAUAGCCGACCUGAGAGGGUGAUCGGCCACAUUGGGACUGAGACACGGCCCAAACUCCUACGGGAGGCAGCAGUAGGGAAUCUUCGGCAAUGACGAAAGUCUGACCGAGCAACGCCGCGUGAGUGAAGAAGGUUUUCGGAUCGUAAAACUCUGUUGGUAGAGAAGAACGUUGGUGAGAGUGGAAAGCUCAUCAAGUGACGGUAACUACCCAGAAAGGGACGGCUAACUACGUG